CCAGGGAAUAGGUGCAGCAUCAAUGGCAAGCCGAGUCGACAUGUGACUUCACACAUCAAAUCGAAUCAAUAGUGUUUUUCUACUGUCACAUCAGUGCAAAAAAAUGACAAUUGAUAGCCUCUCCUUUAGCUAUCAUACCAUGUGUUGUGUCACUAAGUUACGAUCUUAGCUGCGGUGUACAUAUUUUCAGAUUAAUGAAGCUUAUAGCCCUCCAAUGCAGUAUCUGUAUGCUUUACAAAACUAUCCGAGUAUUGCAAAAUUGCAUGAUACAUCAAAUUGGAGCGUAGCCUACAUACUUAUGGACUGUGGACUUAUGUUGCUUAUUUAGAGGCUGCCGUACAUGGAUCGGGAAAACUACAAGUAUUUGGUGCACGAUCUAAAAUAGCUGCAGGCUAAUCCUCCCCUAAUGUUCAUAAUGUUCUGUGGUACACAAUAUGGGUAAAGGAGAGCACAUUGCUCUAAUGUUUUUGCAUAUGAUAUUAAAUCAGACAUUUCAGUGGAUAAUAUAUGGUAUUGACUUGGACAUUGGUGUUGUGGAACAAUCUAGCAGGUAUUGGAUCUUAUAGAAUUAUAGAGUUGGCAGGGUCUGAAAAUCAUGGUGUUGGUGUUUCAGCCUAUUAAUCUGUAGAUAAAGAAAGUCCGCACAUCUCUACAAAUAAUCCUGAAGAAAGUUCUACUAUUGCGAACGCUCCAACUGAAUAAGAAAUAUGAUUUUUUUUUAAUUGAAGAAGAAGCCAGUUUCUCGAGAAGGAAUACAGAAUAAUAUUUUGGAUUAUUUUACUUGAGGUCUCAAAUUCAUCGCAUCAACCGUGAGGGGUAGUAUGCAAGGAUCAACCGAUGUGGAUAACAAAAUCUGGGUGCGAGCUUCCGGGAAAUCUAAUUGGGUCUAUGCAAACAAGCAGAUUUGGAAGAUAAUUCCUGUACAUGUUGAUUUGGAAAAUCUUUGACAGUAGCUGUGGGUCUUAUACUGAUGACAAUCAACAUGUCUUUUCCGACCAACCAGGGGUCGAUUCCAACAUAUGUUUUGUCCAUAUUUGAAGCCCAUUUUCUACUCAUUGAUCUGCUUCACUCCUCCACAAGUUUCUCACUAGGUUCUCUUGAGCGAUGAGUCAUACUGGAUGUUCAAGGACACAGAAGGCUUCAUGAACCACAUUCUCUUGCUGAACUUUUUUUGGCAUCAUAACAACGAUUCCCAUGAUCUUUCUAUGUGCUUUACUGAUGGACGGUGUUGGCGCGUUUAGGGCAUAAUGACCUGAGCGGUAGAUCGUACGGUGAACAACGUCGACGGCAGCGCUAGAGCGCGGUGAGGCUGGUUGAGGUUUUCUCUAUGCUUCUUUUAAUUACCACAUGUAAUUUUAUUUGAGAUCUUUUCAUGGUUGCGCUGCUAAUUAAUAAUCUUAAUGAUGUAAUGUAAUUCGCAUAAUAUGAUAUAAUCAUUUGGUAGUAGACUUUGCUGGACUAUUGUAGGUCGCCAGAAACACUAUGUUCUAUCCAGAAGGUCAUCCACAACGUCUGUGCAUUGCAUAGAGCUUCUUACUGCAAUUUUCUAGAAUGCACUUCUUGAAUUAUUCCGGAAGAUGUUAGUAUUUCACCUCAGUACCUUGCUGCUCACUCCAGCGUGAAGACGUGUUCGCUAAAUGGUGAGCUAUGCAUUGUGAAAGGGUAAGGCAAUGCAUCACGGUUGAUCUUUGCUUGAACUUGUGGGCCUUCAAUAGCAUUUUAGUUCAUAUAAAAGCAAAUCCCGUAUAUUCUUAAACAUAAAGAGAUUAUUAUGGUUCAGACUAUCAAGGAUAUCAAUAAUUCUAUAUGCGCUAAAUAGGACUCCCAUUUUAAAGAAAAAUAAGACUCUUUUUAUAAACACGGUUCGACCAUGGUGCUAAUAUAUGUUUUUUUGGGAGGUGGUUAUAUAUGUUUAGAUUCAUGCACUAUGUGUAUCAUGCCUCUCUUUCUUUUCUAAAAUAUUGGCAGAGGCUCUAUCUCAUACACUAAAUCUUUUAUCGAGCCUAUCAUGGCUGCACCUCAAGGUUUGAUAACUAAUGUCGAUUCAGAAGGUGGAUUUGGCUCAUUGAUGAUACAUAUAAGCAAUUUCUGAGCUCAUAGGUUCCAAGCUAUUCAGUUUUAUGCAAAAUUGUGGAGCAGAAAAACAAGCUGGAAGCUUACUCGGGGAUGCAAGCCAGCGGCAACCCCACAGCCGAAGGCGACAAGGUUGCGCCAGACAUCAAAGAGAAGUAGCGCGCUCGGGCCUGCUAGGAGCUCUGGGCUUGGUGGGUGUGGACCAUGACAUUACCGAGGAGUAUUCUUUAUUGGAGAGACCAAGACUGCCGAGAAAGAAAGAAGCCGAUCUGCCCCCCUGGGACUUGCGGCCACAGCUGGAGAGGGCGUCUCCCCCUUAUCGACGGGGUUUGGUGCCGGUGCUCGGUGCACCGUCUUGGCCGUGCUGGGCGGCGAGUCAGCGACAGGCUUGGAUCCGAUCUGAAGUUGGUGGCAUCACCAUGCUUGUCCUCCUUUGUUAGCUGGUCUGCGGGCUUCCUCCGGACGUCCUGCUCGGCUGGUUGGCAGAGCAAUGGCGAUGCAAGCUCUGGGUCGGGGGAAACCCUUAACCGGUGGUGCCGGUCACGAUGUUGGCGGCGCUUGCGGCGCCGUUCUCCCUCUGGUGGGCGACAUCGAGACCCUCUCCUCGCCUUCCACCCCAUGGUCCCGGGCGAAAGCCUAAAAUCUCUUGAUUGGGCGGCGACAGCGCGUCGACAUCGUUUUCUUCUUGAAGACGCUGCCUUGGGAGUCCAGGAUGGCCAGGGGCUCGGAGCGGUGGUGGUUUGCCUGUUCUUCUAACGUGAACCUGCUUGGCAAUGGCGGUGGGUUCCUUGGUCUUGGCUGGUGACGGGCAUGAUGUAUGGGUUCCUAUGAGAGGUGAGGUGGCCAGGGCUUGUCCUCUCCCGAACAACAUGUUGGCCAGUCCAUCCGUGCUCGGGGGUGAGCUAUUCUGCCUCCUGACGGGUCGGCGUCCUUUGAUCUAGGACGAGAAGGCAGGGGUGCCCUCUUCGAAGGCAGAGGCUGAAGGUAGGACAACAGGGUUGGCCCUUGGGAGUCGAUGGAGCAUGGCCUUCCUCCGGUGGUGAAUUGCUCCCUUACGCGGUUGCGUCGAUGGCAUGAUCGGAGGUCGUCUCUUGUUGUUCCAUAGUGUUUGUAUCUUGUUGAUUUUCGAUUCUCUUAUUUUCCUUAUUUGUUGUGGUGAUGGCUGUAAUGUGUGGUUGUUGCUUUAUAUAUAAAGCGGGGCGAAAACCAUUUUCAGUAAAGAAAGAAGCCGAAGAGAGUUUGAAUUUGUUGCUAUUUGAUGAAACCAGAUGCCACCAUGCUUAACACGUAUUUCUGAAUUAAAAUAAUAAUUUGAUAAAUGCGUAUAUUUCUAUUAUUACAUGGCAAUGCACGGUCAUCCGGCUUUUGCCCGUAGCAACUUUUGAUAUUUCCUGGCCAGAGAGAACAAACAUGUGUCCAAGCACGCCGAAGCUAUUAUUCUCAGGUUUUUUAUGCUGAUAUUGAAUGGCUACCUUCCAUCUGCUAGGGAGAUAGUUUUUGCUGAUCUUUCAUCUGAAUGUGCUCAUCUAGAGCUAAAGCUGGAAGAAGCCCAAGCAUCACAUAAUCCUGAAGACCUAUGCACUAUCUCCAAAGUCUUGAGCUUAUUAAGAGAUGACACAAAAUUUGAGCUUUAUUAUACAAAAUUGUGUUGGUAUCUGGUUGUAGAACAUAUUUCCUAUUAUAGAAGUUAAAGAGAGGAAGUAAAAGGGUAAGCCAAGGGCUAGCCUAAAAUCCCAAAAGGACUCACAUGGUAUUUGUUGUCGGCCAACCUGUCUUCAAUCCAGCGGUUGGUCGCUUGAACAAUGUUAUUCACUCAGAGGGAGUUUUGAUCAAAAGUUUAUGAAUUAUCAUGCAUGGAACCUGUAUAUGUUGUAGACUAUUUCAUUGUAUUAUGCUAUAUAAAAGCGGCAAAGUAGUAUUAUGGUCAUUGCUUUAGUA